rnacentral:rRNA from 1 species
AAUGAACGCUGGCGGCGUGCUUAACACAUGCAAGUCGCACGAGAACGCUUCAGCUUGCUGAAGCUAGUAAAGUGGCGCACGGGUGAGUAACGCGUGGGUAAUCUACCUCCAAAUUGGGGAUAACAUUGCGAAAGCGAUGCUAAUACCGAAUAAUAUCUCAAGAACUUCGGCUUUUGAGAUCAAAGGUGGCCUCUCCAUGGAAGCUACUGUUAGGAGAUGAGCCCGCGUACCAUUAGCUUGUUGGUAGGGUAAUGGCCUACCAAGGCAACGAUGGUUAGCUGGUCUGAGAGGAUGAUCAGCCACACUGGAACUGACACACGGUCCAGACUCCUACGGGAGGCAGCAGUGAGGAAUUUUGCGCAAUGGGGGAAACCCUGACGCAGCAACGCCGCGUGAGUGAUGAAGGCUUUCGGGUCGUAAAGCUCUGUCAAGUGGGAAGAACCUGCCUAGUGCUAAUAUCACCGGGCACUGACGGUACCACUGAAGAAGCACCGCUAAC